GAGACACAGCCAUUCAAUAGGUAGCAUUUCCCAAGAUGCCUUGCGGGCCGGCCGGCAGAAAAACUUAAAAACAAUGGCGGACAGUGAAGCGGGAGCUGUCGGAGAGGAUUGCGCAUAUACAUGAACAAAAGAGAAAACCAGGGAAUUUAUUAAGCUUAGGACGGAGAUGGACCACAUGAUCACCGGAGCAAAGUAUUCGGCGGCUGUGGCAUGGAGACUAUUCUGGAGAAAAUGGGCAUCCAGGGGAAGGUGCCAGCGAUGAGCUUCUGGAGCUGAUCUGGGAGGACAUGAGGCUGCAGAGCAGCAGAGAGCACAGGAGAGAAGGAAGAACUUUGACAGCUUUUUACUUUGCUAGAAAAAAAUGGUUAAUGAAGAUUAAACAUGUACAUGUAAAAGAAAUAUCUAAAUAAAAUCAGUUCUGCAUUAAA